GCACAAGCGGUGGAGGAUUGUGGUUUAAUUCGACGCAACGCGAAGAACCUUUACCUAGGCUUGACAUGCUGGUGAAACCAUGGAAACAUGGUCCUCCGUAAGGGACAUCAGUACAGGUGGUGCAUGGCUGUCGUCAGCUCGUGUCGUGAGAUGUUGGGUUUAAGUCCCGCAACGAGCGCAACCCCCUACGUUUAGUUGCUAACGCGUGAAGGCGAGCACUCUAGACGAACUGCCGUUGACAAACGGAGGAAGUGGGAUGACGUCAAAUCAUCAUGCCCCUUAUGUUCUGGGCUACACACGUGCUACAAUGGCCGGUACAGACGGACGCAAAGCCGCGAGGUGGAGCAAAUCCUAAAAAGCCGGUCUCAGUUCGGAUUGCAGGCUGCAAUUCGCCUGCAUGAAGUCGGAAUCGCUAGUAAUCGCAGGUCAGCAUACUGCGGUGAAUACGUUCCCGGGCCUU
rnacentral:rRNA from 1 species